GAUGAACGCUGGCGGCGUGCUUAACACAUGCAAGUCGAACGGUGAAGGCGGAGCUUGCUCUGCUGGAUCAGUGGCGAACGGGUGAGUAACACGUGAGCAAUCUGCCCCUGACUCUGGGAUAAGCGCUGGAAACGGCGUCUAAUACUGGAUACGAGCUGCGAAGGCAUCUUCAGCAGCUGGAAAGAAUUUCGGUCAGGGAUGAGCUCGCGGCCUAGCAGCUUGUUGGUGAGGUAAUGGCUCACCAAGGCGUCGACGGGUAGCCGGCCUGAGAGGGUGACCGGCCAAACUGGGACUGAGACACGGGCCAGACUAGUACGGGAGGCAGCAGUGGGGAAUAUUGCACAAUGGGCGAAAGCCUGAUGCAGCAACGCCGCGUGAGGGACGACGGCCUUCGGGUUGUAAACCUCUUUUAGCAGGGAAGAAGCGAAAGUGACGGUACCUGCAGAAAAAGCGCCGGCUAACUACGUG
rnacentral:rRNA from 1 species